rnacentral:rRNA from 1 species
CGGGUGAGUAACACGUAGAGAACCUACCUUACACAGGGGGACAACGGCUGGAAACGGCUGCUAAUACCGCAUAAGCACCCAGUUUCGCAUGAAACAGAGUGAAAAGAGUAAAUCGGUGUAAGAUGGCUCUGCGUCUGAUUAGCUAGUUGGUGGGGUAAAGGCUCACCAAGGCGACGAUCAGUAGCCGGCCUGAGAGGGCGACCGGCCACAUUGGGACUGAGACACGGCCCAGACUCCUACGGGAGGCAGCAG